rnacentral:rRNA from 1 species
GACGAACGCUGGCGGCGUGCCUAAUACAUGCAAGUAGAACGCUGAAGGAGGGGCUUGCUUCUCUGGAUGAGUUGCGAACGGGUGAGUAACGCGUAGGUAACCUGCCUGGUAGCGGGGGAUAACUAUUGGAAACGAUAGCUAAUACCGCAUAAUAGCAGUUGUUGCAUGACAACUGUUUGAAAGGUGCAAUUGCACCACUACCAGAUGGACCUGCGUUGUAUUAGCUAGUUGGUGGGGUAACGGCUCACCAAGGCGACGAUACAUAGCCGACCUGAGAGGGUGAUCGGCCACACUGGGACUGAGACACGGCCCAGACUCCUACGGGAGGCAGCAGUAGGGAAUCUUCGGCAAUGGACGGAAGUCUGACCGAGCAACGCCGCGUGAGUGAAGAAGGUUUUCGGAUCGUAAAGCUCUGUUGUAAGAGAAGAACGAGUGUGAGAGUGGAAAGUUCACACUGUGACGGUAGCUUACCAGAAAGGGACGGCUAACUACGUG